AGAAAACAUGCAAUAUAAGUUUUUACACACAGCACAUCACUAACACAGAGCUAUUGUAUUACUCAGGGAGAACUAGGACUACCGGGUGCUCCAGGUGAACCAGGCUACCCAGGCAUUCCUGGUACGCAGGGUAUAAAGGGGGACAAAGGAAACCAAGGUGAAAGUGGUAUCCAGGGUCUGAAAGGAGAAAAAGGAAGGCAAGGAAAUCCAGGCUUAC
rnacentral:lncRNA from 1 species